CAACCAUCCAGAGCGACCGAGAGACUUGGCUCAACGACGUCGCAGCAACCUCCCGCAUUACAGGGGUCGGUGCUAACGCCAAGAGACGAUGGAGA
rnacentral:ncRNA from 1 species